CUCCUUUGACGUUAGCGGCGGACGGGUGAGUAACACGUGGGUAACCUACCUAUAAGGCUGGGAUAACUUCGGGAAACCGGAGCUAAUACCGGAUAAUAUUUCGAACCGCAUGGUUCGAUAGUGAAAGGUGGUUUUGCUAUCACUUAUAGAUGGACCCGCGCCGUAUUAACUAGUUGGUAAGGUAACGGCUUACCAAGGUGACGAUACGUAGCCGACCUGAGAGGGUGAUCGGCCACACUGGAACUGAGACACGGUCCAGACUCCUACGGGAGGCAGCAGGU
rnacentral:rRNA from 1 species